UCGCCCCUCCGAAUGACAAGUUGAAUUCUGGGCGUGCUCUAGUGGGUGAAUCAGUUGAGGGGCUGCACAACCUCAGACACAGUCUCCAAGUGACUAAUCCUGGUGAUUCAGGUACCAUAGGAAUCGGAAACAGUUGCUCAAUCAGGACUUGAGCUCGGGGAGGACGAUUGGCACUGCUUGAUAUGACAGAGGCCUAUAUUUCCUUUCUACAGAUGCUUCCUCCAGAAGCUUGUUUAGGACUAGUCUUUUAUCUUCGUUUACUAUAUCUGAAACAAAUUAUUUAUUGUGGCAUUUUCGUCUUGGACAUCCUAGUUUUCAAUAUAUGCGAUAUUUGUUUCUUCAUUUA